AGGGAUUGCCUCAGUAACGGCGAGUGAAGCGGCAACAGCUCAAAUUUGAAAUCUGGCUCCUUCGGGGUCCGAGUUGUAAUUUGCAGAGGAUGCGUCGGGUACGGGUCCCUACCGAGUUCCCUGGAACGGGACGCCAUAGAGGGUGAGAGCCCCGUCUGGUAGGAUACCCAGCCCAUGUGACGCUCCCUCGACGAGUCGAGUAGUUUGGGAAUGCUGCUCUAACGGGAGGUAUACUCCUUCCAAAGCUAAAUACCGGCUGGAGACCGAUAGCGCACAAGUAGAGUGAUCGAAAGAUGAAAAGCACUUUGAAAAGAGAGUCAAACAGCACGUGAAAUUGUUAAAAGGGAAGCACUCGCUACCAGACUUGGGUUCGGCGGUUCAACCGGGGCCACGCCCCGGGGCAUUCCGCCGGCUCAGGCCAGCAUCAGCUUUCCGUCGGGGGCAAAGACGUCGGGAAUGUAGCUCCUCCUCGGGGGAGUGUUAUAGCCCGGCGUGUCAUACCCUUCGGGGGGCUGAGGUACGCGCUUCUGCAAGGAUGCUGGCGUAAUGGUAGCUAGUGACCCGUCUUGAACACGACCAAA
rnacentral:rRNA from 1 species